UUGUCUGCAAAAGUAGAUUCUAUAGAUGGACAGUUGUGGAAGCCCACUACCCAAGGAAGCAACAUGAAGAUCUGAGGACCCUUGAGUCGCCCCAGUUUACUUUCCAUCCUUGAGUGAGGCCAAGGUGGGUGAAAGACAGCGGAAUUAGCAUUUGGCCAUCUGAAGCUUUGCAGAGUCCACAUUCCUCCCGGCCAGGGACCAUUGAAAACUACUAAUGACUCUCCUCGCC
rnacentral:lncRNA from 1 species